rnacentral:tRNA from 1 species
GAUCUUUUAGUAUAAGUAGUAUGUUUAAUUUCCAAUUAAGUGGUUUUGAAGAUUA